CUCAUUAAAUCAGUUAUAGUUUAUUUGAUGGUCUCUUUGUUCUUCUUUUUACCUACUUGGAUAACCGUGGUAAUUCUAGAGCUAAUACAUGCGCAAGGUCCCGAGCGCGGAGGGUAGGGCUUCACGGCUCUACUCUUGCAUGCGUAGAGGGAUGUAUUUAUUAGGUUAAACAACCAGCAUUUUUUCAUUUCUGGUGAUUCAUAGUAACUCUUUCGGAUCGCAUUCAUG
rnacentral:rRNA from 1 species